rnacentral:pre_miRNA from 1 species
AAAAAGGCAAACCCUGGGUUUCCGUGUCCAACUUUGACUGUCUGUCUUAUAUGAAAUUUUUUUAGAAUUCGUAUUUUUAUUAUUGUUAGAUGAUAAAACAUGAUUAAUACUUUGUGCGUGACUUGUCUUUUUAAUUUUUUUCAUAUUUUUUUCAAAUAAGACGGACAGUCAAACGUUGGACACGUAAACCAGGGUUUGUCUUUUU